rnacentral:rRNA from 1 species
CCUACGGGAGGCAGCAGUGGGGAAUAUUGGUCAAUGGGCGCAAGCCUGACCCAGCAACGCCGCGUGAAGGAAGAAUGCUUUCGGGUUGUAAACUUCUUUUCUCAGGGACGAAACAAGUGACGGUACCUGAGGAAUAAGCCACGGCUAACUACGUGCCAGCAGCCGCGGUAAUACGGAGGUGGCAAGCGGUAUCCGGAUUUCCUGGGUGUAAAGGGCGUGUAGGCGGGACUGCAAGUCAGAUGUGAAAACCACGGGCUCAACAUGUGGCCUGCAUUUGAAACUGUAGUUCUUGAGUAAUGGAGAGGCAGACGGAAUUCCUAGUGUAGCGGUGAAAGGCGUAGAUAUUAGGAGGAACACCAGUGGCGAAGGCGGUCUGCUGGACAGCAACUGACGCUGAGGCGCGAAAGCGUGGGGAGCAAACAGGAUUAGAUACCCGUGUAGUC